GUUUUCCCUGGAAUUGGGCCUCCGCGUACCGGUUCGUUCUUCCGAACAGAAGCGAGCGAGCGAGCUCGGGACGAGAUCGAUGAAAACGCCCGGCGCACCAACUCGCCUUCGCGGCGGCGGCACAGAAUUUCUUGGAGUACUGGUAGCACGGGAGGCUGAUUUUGUUCUUGUUAUGGCCUGAUGUGUUUCAGUUGCAAAAUUCCUCGGAGAAUCAUAAUGUUUCUUGGCUAAAUGACUUUAUAUUUCGGUUGCAAAAUUGGAUGCUAAUAUUUUGUAUGUUGUUAUACGUGAAGAAGUAAUACAUAUACACACAAUUUUUUCUCUA